rnacentral:rRNA from 1 species
AUGAACGCUGGCGGCGUGCCUAAUACCUGCAAGUCGCGCGAACGGACGAGAAGCUUGCUUCUCUGAUGUUAGCGGCGGACGGGUGAGUAACGCGUGGAUAACCUACCUAUAAGACUGGGAUAACUUCGGGAAACCGGAGCUAAUACCGGAUGAUAUUUUGAACCGCAUGGUUCAAAAGUGAAAGACGGUCUUGCUGUCACUUAUAGACGGAUCCGCGCUGCAUUAGCUAGUUGGUAAGGUAACGGCUUACCAAGGCAACGAUGCAUAGCCGACCUGAGAGGGUGAUCGGCCACACUGGAACUGAGACACGGUCCAGACUCCUACGGGAGGCAGCAGUAGGGAAUCUUCCGCAAUGGGCGAAAGCCUGACGGAGCAACGCCGCGUGAGUGAUGAAGGUCUUCGGAUCGUAAAACUCUGUUAUUAGGGAAGAACAUAUGUGUAAGUAACUGUGCACAUCUUGACGGUACCUAAUCAGAAAGCCACGGCUAACUACGUG